rnacentral:rRNA from 1 species
GUACGCUUCUUUUUCCCCGGAGCUUGCUCCACCGGAAAAAGAAGAGUGGCGAACGGGUGAGUAACACGUGGGUAACCUGCCCAUCAGAAGGGGAUAACACUUGGAAACAGGUGCUAAUACCGUAUAACAAUCGAAACCGCAUGGUUUUGAUUUGAAAGGCGCUUUCGGGUGUCGCUGAUGGAUGGACCCGCGGUGCAUUAGCUAGUUGGUGAGGUAACGGCUCACCAAGGCUACGAUGCAUAGCCGACCUGAGAGGGUGAUCGGCCACAUUGGGACUGAGACACGGCCCAAACUCCUACGGGAGGCAGCAGUAGGGAAUCUUCGGCAAUGGACGAAAGUCUGACCGAGCAACGCCGCGUGAGUGAAGAAGGUUUUCGGAUCGUAAAACUCUGUUGUUAGAGAAGAACAAGGAUGAGAGUAACUGUUCAUCCCUUGACGGUAUCUAACCAGAAAGCCACGGCUAACUACGUGCCAGCAGCCGCGGUAAUACGUAGGUGGCAAGCGUUGUCCGGAUUUAUUGGGCGUAAAGCGAGCGCAGGCGGUUUCUUAAGUCUGAUGUGAAAGCCCCCGGCUCAACCGGGGAGGGUCAUUGGAAACUGGGAGACUUGAGUGCAGAAGAGGAGAGUGGAAUUCCAUGUGUAGCGGUGAAAUGCGUAGAUAUAUGGAGGAACACCAGUGGCGAAGGCGGCUCUCUGGUCUGUAACUGACGCUGAGGCUCGAAAGCGUGGGGAGCAAACAGGAUUAGAUACCCUGGUAGUCCACGCCGUAAACGAUGAGUGCUAAGUGUUGGAGGGUUUCCGCCCUUCAGUGCUGCAGCUAACGCAUUAAGCACUCCGCCUGGGGAGUACGACCGCAAGGUUGAAACUCAAAGGAAUUGACGGGGGCCCGCACAAGCGGUGGAGCAUGUGGUUUAAUUCGAAGCAACGCGAAGAACCUUACCAGGUCUUGACAUCCUUUGACCACUCUAGAGAUAGAGCUUCCCCUUCGGGGGCAAAGUGACAGGUGGUGCAUGGUUGUCGUCAGCUCGUGUCGUGAGAUGUUGGGUUAAGUCCCGCAACGAGCGCAACCCUUAUUGUUAGUUGCCAUCAUUCAGUUGGGCACUCUAGCAAGACUGCCGGUGACAAACCGGAGGAAGGUGGGGAUGACGUCAAAUCAUCAUGCCCCUUAUGACCUGGGCUACACACGUGCUACAAUGGGAAGUACAACGAGUCGCGAAGUCGCGAGGCUAAGCUAAUCUCUUAAAGCUUCUCUCAGUUCGGAUUGUAGGCUGCAACUCGCCUACAUGAAGCCGGAAUCGCUAGUAAUCGCGGAUCAGCACGCCGCGGUGAAUACGUUCCCGGGCCUUGUACACACCGCCCGUCACACCACGAGAGUUUGUAACACCCGAAGUCGGUGAG